AAUGAACGUUGGCGGCGUGGAUUAGGCAUGCAAGUCGAGCGAGAAGCUUUUUUAAGAUACUUCGGUUGAUUUUUAAAGUGGACAGCGGCGAAAGGGAGAGUAACGAGUAGAUACGUACCCAGGGGUUCGGGAUAGCCAUGCGAAAGCGUGAGUAAUACCGAAUAAUGUCUCCGGACCAAAGAUUUAUUGCCCUUGGAGCGGUUUGCUUACUAUUAGCUAGUUGGUGGGGUAAAGGCCUACCAAGGCAAAGAUGGUUAGCGGGUGUGAGAGCAUGGCCCGUCUCACUGGGACUGAGACACUGCCCAGACACCUACGGGUGGCUGCAGUCGAGAAUCUUCCGCAAUGGACGAAAGUCUGACGGAGCGACGCCGCGUGCUGGAUGAAGGCCCUCGGGUUGUAAACAGCUGUCGUAGGGGAGGAAAUUUUGACCGAUCCUAGGAGGAAGCACAGGCUAAGUUCGUGCCAGCCGCCGCGGUAA
rnacentral:rRNA from 1 species